UUGCUUUAGCAUCACAUAUACAAUAGUUGGAAUUAUAGAAAGAUUAGUAUGAACUAUCUGUCCAAGGAAGACAUGCAGAUUCAUGAAUUGUUCCUUAUUUUU
rnacentral:snRNA from 1 species